rnacentral:lncRNA from 1 species
CUUUUGUUGGAUCUAUUAUAUGGUGUGUAGAUUUAAAGGGGAUAGCAGUGCCUAUAUUUUUCAUCAUUUUUCUUAGAUGUACAGUACCAAAUAAUAGCUGUGCACUCUUCCUAAAUUUGUGCUAGGAUUCUCAAAAAAAGAAAAAAAGAUAUCUUAAGUAGUGUAGGUUUAAGUUGGCAGCUUUUAUGAAGUCAUCUGAGGGAAAGACCCAUUGCUGCAAGUGUUUCUUUGGUUUCUCCUUAUCUGAAUUUUUGCCAUUACAGCUUCAUUCUUUGGGGUAAAGGGUUGUAGAACUGCAGCCUAGUUUUAUAUGUUAGCAGGCAAGCUCUAAGAAUACAAAGUCCUUGCCCAUGUGGAGGCAAAUAGAGAAAACUUGGAACAACCAUUAUGAAGUGGUGAAAGAGAUCUCUGAAGAAAAUUUGGAGAGCAGAUUUGAAAUAUAUAAGAAACCAUCAGAAUGCAUAGAAAUGUGUGCCCCAUGAAGGAGAUUGAGUGUUCUAGUUGAAGAGUAUCAGACUGAAUGAAGGUGUGAAUGAAACACACUGGUGUGUGUUGAUAAUCUUAAGGUAAGAAAAAAAAUUUACAGUCAUCUGAAAUUAGUUUGAAGUGUUAAAUU